UGUAUAUAAUUGGCCAUAUCUUUGCAGUCUGAUAAAAAAGUCAUUUGCUAACAUUUUUAUUAGUUGUGUGCAAUGCAUGUCUUCGGUAACAGCUUCAUGGUGAGCAUCGUGUUCAUUUAGGUCUUUAAAAAAAAUGUUUUUCAAUAAUAAUUUUAUUAACUGCAUAAAUCAUUUUCAGUUAAAGAUUUCGCUCCACAUUCAUUUUUGGUUUUUUAAAAUUGCCAUUGCUGACAUAAAUUUUGAAAACGCUCUCGUAUACUAUUAUAGUUUGUAUAACACCAUUUUUUGGAGCAAUAAGCACAUUCCUAUUUUUUAUGUUUAUCAAUGAAAGAACUGAUGCCCUAUAAGAAUAUUCCACAAAAUUGUUUUGUGGGAGUUUGCACACACAGAACAUGUUAUCUUAUAAUAAUCUUCUUACAAUAAAUCCAGAGCUAUUUAAAAAUUACAAUCCUUAAGUCGCUCUAAAUCACAUAACACAUUUCUAGUUAAUUUUAGCAAAUGACUUGGGUCAGGGAUUACAUACAAGUAGUGAUUAUAGCCUUCAAAAGUAAAUUGUCCAUUAAUUUUUUCUAGUCUUUUCCGAAAUGUACAUCCUAGUGAUGCAACAGAAUUAAAGUUAACACUUACACCAUCAAAUGUAAUUUUACUACAUUAAUUUUUUUAUCAGAAGAAAUUGUUAAUGCUUUUUUAAUAAGACAUGAAAGGUUUUCAGUUGUUAUUUUACUACACAGCAUAAGGCCAAUAGGUGUUUUCCAAUGACCUCGUAAUCCUACCAGCAUAAAUACCAAUGGUUCUGUAGCUGGUGUAUCUGGUUCAAUUGCGACAAUAUCUUUUCCAUAAUCUGUAAAGCCUAUGAAUCGACCUGCCUUUUUAUCGCUUAGAACUGAUGUUUUGAUUACCAUUGCAUCUAUAAUUAAUGCACAAUCUUUAUAAUUAAUAUCAGCCACUGCUUUUAUAUUAAUAUAACUUAAAACAUCUUCAAAGAAAAACAGUUCUACAAUCUACAAAAGAAGUACAGUUGGCUAAAGAGCUUGAAGCAGGUAAAUGGAGUAUAGGCCGUAGAAAAUUUUAUGCUUUAGGUGAGUAAAAAUGCAGAGUUAUAGCAAAUUUUUUAAUUUCAUCUGUAUACCUAAGCCCUUUAGGAAAUGAUGUAUUGUUUUUAAACUGAUUUUUUAUAAUAUCAAAAGUCAAUCCACUAAAGUUUUCACAAAAAGUAUUACCAAUAUUUUUUGUGAAAAUAUAAAUUGUGUUAAUAUUAGCAUUACUGUUAUCACUUAUAUCCGAAUAGAAAUGGAUGUAAUGGUGACUGCCUGUUUCUGAAACUUUUUAAAUGAGUCUCUUUUUAUUUGUUUGUGGCGAUAUAGAACUAAACUUUCUUUUGACUUUUGGUUUUGAAUCAAUAGUAAUAGAUGGCAUAGAAAAAGGUUUUAAUUGCGGUUUGUUAUUAAAAUCAGGUAUAUUGUAAUCUGAAGGUAAAAAGUGAUCACUACAAAUGCAGCUGUGCUCAGUAGGAAUGUUUCACAAUUUAUAGCAACAAUCCACUUUUUACAGAGUUCGCUAUUACUAAUUGGAAAUUUAUGAAAUACUCUGUUGUUGUUUUUCAUUGCUCUCUUUGUGCAACCUGCUGCUGCACAAGAAUUAACCAUGAUUUCUAAUUUUUGAAUAUUAAAUAUUAUUUGAUCCAAAAAAUCGUGAUUUACUAUUUAUUUUUUCCCCCCCAUAAUGGCUGAUUUUUGCUUCAAAAAAUACGGAAGUUAGACAUCUAGUUAUUUUUAAUAUAUCAUUGAUUAAUUCUGAGAAUUUUUAGAAACAUGAAACCCAAGGGUGUUUAUUAAACCUCCUUGGUGAAACCACCUAAGUCUUACUUUAACUCAACAUACAACACCAAUAUUUGCAUUAAAAUUUUGAAUAACUUUAUAAAAAUAAAAUCACAUAAAAGUUGUCAUGAAAAGUCACGAAAUUAAAGGGUGGAAUUGCGGCAAUUGCAAUGUUUCAACUCAAUGUUUGUAGAUUCGUUGCAUUUUAUUUUAAUUUAAUAUUAUACUAUUGCUUUAUUAUUUAGUUUAAAUAAUAAACAUUAGUAUAUUAUUUAAACGAAGUUGAAAUAAAAUGCAACAAUUCUACAAACAUAACAUUGUAUUACUAUGUUCAAGGGCUGACUGUUAAUUUAAAAAAGGAUUUUAUUUGUGGUGUUAUUAAAGGCCAUGUAUGAGAAGCCAUGAAACUAUAAAUCAAUGAAAUCAAAGUAUGCAACUAUCAUAAACAUCAAAUACAUAAAACUAUGCUUAAAUUAUUACUACCAUAACUAAAAACCAUGUAUAUCAACUCAGGUUAUCCAAGUUGUCUUUUCCAUGACAUUGCGAUAUUAGGGUUUUAUGGUUCACCAUAGGUUUUAAAUGAAAGAUUAGAUUUGUUUCAAUGGUUAUUUAAAAAGUCAUUCCAAGAUUUAAAGAAAUUGUAGAAGGUGCCCCAAGAAGACCUAAUGGUCUUUUCACAGAACACCACAGAAGAACAUUUACUAGAGAGUUCAUACAUCCUUCCUUACCGAUGCGCAAAAAAUGCCCCAGCAUUAAAAAAGUAUGGUUAAUGAUGUUAUAAAAUGAGUUAAGGAAUGUUACAAAUGACAAAGCAUUGAAAAAAUAUGUUUUCUUCGUUUAACGUCAACCAUUUAAUAACCUCAGCUUAUCACCCCUAAACGAAUAGGCAGGAUAAAAGAACUAAUCGAACUGUUAAGAGAACUCUUUCAAAAUUAUGUAAUGAAGCCCAAGAUAACUGGGAUGAGUUAUUAGAACUAGUUUUUUUCGGUCUACAUUCAUGUGUACAAAAAUUGACUAAGUUUACACCAUUUUUUUUAAUGUUCGGCAGAGAAGCCCAAUUAUUUUCAGUUUUACCAUUAAAUUCGAAUAGUUUAAAUCUUAUUGUUGAUACUGUUGAAUUUAAAGCAGAAAAUUGCAAAUUCAAGAGAGAAUAGAUUCAUGCAAUAAAAUUAACGCUGUAGUAGAUAUUAAUAAUUCUAUUGCUCAAACAGAAAUGAAAAAAUAUUAUGCCUCUAAACAGGUAAAAGUAUGUGAAUCAUUUCAUUUAAAACAGGUGACAAAAGUUUUAAUAAAAAAUUACAGAAAAAUUGGUUGUAAAGGAAGUCGAAUGGAACAUGAUUGGCUUGAACCUGCUGAAAUUACAGGUUUUAAACAAAAGGUGCUAUUGUAAAUCGUAAUUAAAGUAAAUAAAGAAAGCUGUUGCUUUAUGUAACAUGAAACCUUGUAUAGAUUAAAUAAUACUUUAUCAGAAGCAGUAACAUUAAAAGAACAUGAUUAUUGUCUUCCAAUAAGUAUUAAAAAGACUAAAAUUAAUGAGAAAAUAAGAAAAGUUACCAAACCUAGAAAGAGAUGUGCAUUAGGCUCUAAAUGUAAUGUUAAAGAUAAAAAAAUCAAACUAAGUAAAGUGGAAAACUUAUCAAUUAAUACAUAUCCUGUAGUUUCUAUUGACAAUCACUUUUUUUUAAACUUAUCAACACAGUCUAUUAAACUAGGCCUUGAUAUUUUAAAAAAUCCGUGUGGCUGGUUAAAUAAUAUUUUGAUAGAUAAUGCCCAAAGCUUCCUUUCAUUUUAGUUUCCUUGUAUUGCCAGGUUUCAAAGUUCAUGUAUUUUUGAUAAAAAUACUUCAGGUGGUUAUAUUCUUUCAGGAAAAUUUGUUCAAAUACUUUAUGUCAAUAAUUCACAUUGGGUACUAAUAAGUAAUGUGUCUUUUUCUACUAAUUUAAACUCUGAUCAAUAUUUUGAUUCUCUUUCAAAGUUUAAAUGAAGAUAUUCCAUUAUUUGUAGACCAAGUUGCUCGAUCAUUAUUAAUUUAUGAAGAUGUUAAUUCAAUAACCUUUAAAGCUAUGAAUUGCCAGACACAAAAUAACGGAAAUGAUUGUGGUUUUUAUCCAUUGCAAAUGCUACUGCUCUAUGUUAUGGAAUUGAUCCAAGUGUAGUUGUCUGGGAAAAUAGCAGUAUGAGACAGCAGUACCUAAAAAAUGUUUUGAGAAAGGCAAACUCGAGAUGUUUCCUUAUAUAACAUUUUUAAAUGGGAUUAAAAUUUGUUCUUCAUCCUUUCUAUGUGAUGGUAACUGUCAUUGUGUUUUGGGAUAAUUUUAAGGCAGGAUAUAUUAUUAUAUUUAUGAUUUUUUAAACGACCAUUGCAUAUGUAUGAUACUGUAAAAUUUUUGAAAUAAAACAAUUUAUAAAUAAA